AUUGAACGCUGGCGGCAUGCUUUACACAUGCAAGUCGAACGGUAACAGGCCGCACGGUGCUGACGAGUGGCGAAGGGGUGAGUAAUGCAUUGGAACGUGCCCAGUCGUGGGGGAUAACGCAGCGAAAGCUGCGCUAAUACCGCAUACGAUCUAUGGAUGAAAGCGGGGGACCGCAAGGCCUCGCGCGAUUGGAGCGGCCGAUGUCAGAUUAGGUAGUUGGUGGGGUAAAGGCUAACCAACCCAACGAUCUGAAGCUGGUGUGAGAGGACGACCGGCCACACAGGGGCUGGGGCGCGGCCCAGACGCUUACGGGAGCCAGCAGUGGGGAAUGUUGAACAAUAGGAGUAAGCCUUAUCCAGCAAUGCCACGUUCAAGAAGGAGACCUUCGGGUUGUAAGCUGCUUUUGAACGGAACGAACCGGCUCUGGUUAAUACCUGGGGCUAAUGACGGUACCGUAAGAAUAAGCACCGGCUAACUACGUGCCAGCCGCCGCAGUAAUAC
rnacentral:rRNA from 1 species